rnacentral:rRNA from 1 species
UAAUACGGAGGGGGCCAGCGUUGUUCGGAAUUAUUGGGCGUAAAGGGCGCGUAGGCGGUCGGGUAAGUCUGACGUGAAAUCCCUUGGCUCAACCAAGGAACCGCGUCUUAAACUGCUCGGCUUGAGUCCGGGAGAGGGUAGUGGAAUUCCCAGUGUAGCGGUGAAAUGCGUAGAUAUUGGGAGGAACACCGGUGGCGAAGGCGGCUUCCUGGACCGACACUGACGCUGAGGCGCGAAAGCUAGGGGAGCAAACGGGA